AUGGAAUGUAAGUCUUUCUGUUUCUGUUCCUAUGGUUUUCAGUUACUACUUUAGGCUCAAAACGUCAAGCUGAGACUUGCCCAAAGGGAAUUUGUUGGAAGAGCUUUUCUGCAUGAAAUCAUUCUUUGAAUCUAAUGUGUAUCUCAUAAUAUUAUGAAGUGUACACAUGCAUAUUUCUUUGUGUCUCUAUUUCUCUGUUUAUUUUGAGUUUUAUGUCUGUUUGUUAUGUUGUUGUAUGAUGGUGUCAGAUGACAAAAAAGAACUUAUUUACUCAUCUGAUUUUGUCAGUGUUUUAGGUUUAAUUUACAGAGACUAUCUGAAAGAUUUUGAUUAAUCGCCUUUAGUUCACAUUGAGAAAAUCAGGACAAGAUGGCUUCUCUCAUCUCAGAAAACUUCAAAUUUAUUGCACUCUUCUUCAAGAGUAAGGAUGUCAUGAUUUUCAAUGGUCUGAUAGGUUUAGGAACAGUAGCCAGUCAGACAGCAUACAAUAUUUUUGCAUUUAACUGUCCAUGUUCACCAAAGAAAAAUUAUCUGUACGGUCUGGCUGCCAUUGGUGUACCAGCCCUGGCUUUCUUUGUCAUUGGUUUGAUGCUCAAUCGAAAUACCUGGGACGUUGUGUCAGAGUGUCGUACUAGAAAAUGCCGGAAACUAUCAGUGACUGCUGCUUUUGCUCUGUCGGGCUCUAUUGUGGGCAGAGCAAUCGUUGCCCCUGUCACUUGGUCGGUUAUUUCCCUCCUGAGAGGGGAGGCGUAUGUCUGUGCUCUUAGCGAGUUUGUAGACCCCUCUUCUUUGGAUAAUUUCCCUCCUACUACAAAGAUUCCAGAAAUCAUGGCCCGGUUUCCAUGUAAGGAUGUACCAGCUCAAUUUAUGAACUACUCAAGAGUGAUUGAACGCCAGCUACAGUAUGAAUCCCAGCUGUUGGGCUGGUUGCUGGUGGGAAUCAUCUCCCUCACUGUCUUUCUGCUCCUCUGUCUGAAACACUGCUGCUCUACUCUUGGCUACCAGCAGGAGGCGUACUGGUCCCAGUAUCGUUCCAACGAACAAGCUCUUUUCCAGCGUACAGCUGAAGUGCAUUCUAAAUACCAUGCAGCUGAAUGUGUCAAGAGCUUCUUUGGCUUUGCGGCCUUGGAUAAUGAGGAGAAGGAGCUUCUUGCAAGCUGUCAGGGAAUCAAGAAUGUCAUUCCCAGACUGGAGUGGAACCGCGUCACUGGAGUUUACAUGUACAGAGAGAUCGAUGACACCCCCCUGUACAGUCGCUUGAACAAAUGGGACAUGUAUACAAAGGAGUACAACGAUUGAAAAAGAUUUUGGGGUCAAGCAAAGUGAAUCAACCCUCAUUCCCCUCCCAGCCCUGUCUUACACAGACCCAUCAGAGAGAAUCUGACUCGGCCUGCCUGUCUGCUCGCCUGGCCACUGUCACCUCCUAAUAGCCUUCAGCUGGAGAGAAGUAGGAGGAAGAGAGAGAGAGAGAGAGAGAGCAAAAAGAGAGGGGGUGAGCGAGGAGGGGGCGGGUGAAAGGAGAGCUGUGAUCCAGACAGCGAAUCACAUGAGCAGAGAUCUGUUUACAAACUGAGCAGGAGAAAAGUCAUCGGCACCAUUACGUGGAGGCAGGGCUGCUAGAAAAGACGACAGGAAACACACAGGAAUCUCAUCACUUUGUCUGGAAAAUGCAUUUUAUCCUUUGUGUUUUUGCAGCGGAGAAGCCAGACCAGAUGGUGUGAGGAAGACACAGCUUUGAAUGUGCUGCACUCACAAGCUCUCGCUCUGACGGCUCUAUGCCACUGCUCUUCCUCUUUCUUUGUUACGGGGAAAACGGUUGAUUGUAACGUGAGGGCGAUAAUCUUGAGCGAGAAGACUAAAGGAGAGUGGCUGACGGCAGCAGAGAAAGGGAGAGGUGAAAAAUGAGAAAAGCCAGUGACAACAACUUCACGUCAAACGGAGGUAGACGGUGAUCCAUUGUUGCAUAUGUGACAUUUUCUGUGCUGCCGCUUCAUUUUGGAUCAUGAUGCUG